rnacentral:rRNA from 1 species
CACGUAGGGACCAAGCGUUGUCCGGAUUCAUUGGGCGUAAAGAGCUCGUAGGCGGUUCGAUAAGUCGGGUGUGAAACCUCCAGGCUCAACCUGGAGACGCCACCCGAUACUGUCGGGCUCGAGUCCGGAAGAGGAGUGUGGAAUUCCUGGUGUAGCGGUGAAAUGCGCAGAUAUCAGGAGGAACACCAAUGGCGAAGGCAGCACUCUGGGACGUGACUGACGCUGAGACGCGAAAGCGUGGGGAGCAAACAGG